rnacentral:rRNA from 1 species
GAUGAACGCUGGCGGCGUGCCUAAUACAUGCAAGUCGAGCGAACGGACGAGAAGCUUGCUUCUCUGAUGUUAGCGGCGGACGGGUGAGUAACACGUGGAUAACCUACCUAUAAGACUGGGAUAACUUCGGGAAACCGGAGCUAAUACCGGAUGAUAUUUUGAACCGCAUGGUUCAAAAGUGAAAGACGGUCUUGCUGUCACUUAUAGAUGGAUCCGCGCUGCAUUAGCUAGUUGGUAAGGUAACGGCCUACCAAGGCAACGAUGCAUAGCCGACCUGAGAGGGUGAUCGGCCACACUGGAACUGAGACACGGUCCAGACUCCUACGGGAGGCAGCAGUAGGGAAUCUUCCGCAAUGGGCGAAAGCCUGACGGAGCAACGCCGCGUGAGUGAUGAAGGUCUUCGGAUCGUAAAACUCUGUUAUUAGGGAAGAACAUAUGUGUAAGUAACUGUGCACAUCUUGACGGUACCUAAUCAGAAAGCCACGGCUAACUACGU